rnacentral:rRNA from 1 species
UACAGAGGCCUCGAGCGUUAGGCGGAAUCACUGGGCUUAAAGCGUGCGCAGGCGGUUUUGUAAGCCAGAUGUGAAAUCCCCGGGCUUAACCUGGGAACUGCAUUUGGGACUGCAAGGCUUGAGUACGGCAGAGGGGGGUAGAAUUCCUGGUGUAGCAGUGAAAUGCGUAGAUAUCAGGAGGAAUACCGAUGGCGAAGGCAGCCCCCUGGGUCGAUACUGACGCUCAUGCACGAAAGCGUGGGGAGCAAACAGG